AGCGGUAAUAUUAAUGCAUACGGUGGAUGCCUUGACAUCAAAGAGCGAUGAAGGACGUAGCAGUCUGCGAUAAGCUUCGGGGAGGUGACGAGCAACCUUUGAUCCGGAGAUUUCCGAAUGGGACAACCCAGCCCGUAAGGGUUAUCAUUAACUGAAUUCAUAGGUUAAUGAGGCGCACCCGGUGAAUUGAAACAUCUUAGUAGCCGGAGGAAGAGAAAACAACAGUGAUUUCGCAAGUAGUGGCGAGCGAAAGCGGAACAGCCUUGAGUCAUUAGCGAUUUUGUUAGCUGAACGUUUUGGAAAGAACGGCCAGAGAGAGUGAAAGCCUCGUAGGCGAAAACGGAAUCGUGGAACCAGGACUCAAAACAAGUAGGGCGGGACCGGAGAAAUCCCGUUUGAAGAUGGGAGCACUAUCUCCCAAGGCUAAAUAUCUUUGAUGAUCGAUAGCGAACUAGUACCGUGAGGGAAAGGUGAAAAGCAUCCCGAUGAGGGAGAUGAAAUAGUAUCUGAAACCGUAUGCUAACGAAGAGUUAGAGCUCCGACACUUGUGUCGGGGUGAUAGCGUGCUUUUUGUAGAACGAUCCAGCGAGUUAGUUCUAUGCGGCUUGGAUAAGCGACGUUGUCGUGUAUCCGUAGUGAAAGCGAGCCUUAACCGGCGAAUAUGUCGUAUGGACUAGACCCGAAGCCAGGUGAGCUAUUUAUGAGCAGGGUGAAUUUACUGUAAAAGGUAAAGGAGGCCCGAACCCACGCACCGUGCAACAUGCGGGGAUGACUUGUGAAUAGAGGAGAAAUUCCAAUCGAACUUGGCGAUAGCUGGUUCUUCCCGAAAUAGCUUGAGGGCUAGCGUUGGGCAACUAUGUUUCGGAGGUAGAGCUACUGAAUGAGGAUUCGCGGUUCGCCGUAGGAUUCUCAACCAAACUCCGAAUUCCGAAAUAACUAUCCCAGCAGUCAGUACUCCGGGGCUAAGCUCGGAGCACAAGAGGGAAAAAGCCCAUGACCGCCGUCUAAGGUCCCAAAAUCUAUGUUAAGUGGAAAAGGAGGUGAAGUUUCUUAUACACCUAGGAGGUUGGCUCAGAAGCAGCCAUCCUUUAAAGAGUGCGUAACAGCUCACUAGUCUAGAGACUUCGCGCCGAAAAUUCAACGGGGCUCAAACAUAGUACCGAAGACGCGGAUUUGAUAUGUAUUUAUACAUAUUGAGUGGUAGGGAAGCGUUCCAUAUGCGCUGAAGCGCCAUGCGUGAGCAGACGUGGAGUGUAUGGAAGUGAGAAUGCUGGAACGAGUAACCGCAAUUGGGGUGAGAACCCCCAACACCGAAAGUCUAAGGUUUCCUGGGCAAUGGCAAUCAUCCCAGGGUUAGCCGGGCCUAAGGCGAGGCCGAAAGGCGUAGUCGAUGGACAUAUGGUUAAUAUUCCAUAGCUUUCACAUUAUUCGAUGGAGUGACGCAUCGCUGUACUUCUUGCCGAUUAUUGGAUUUCGGUAGGAAUAGCGAGGUGGCCAGACAGGCAAAUCCGUUUGGCAAUACACCAAGCCGUUUCUCGAAUUCCGGUUCGCCGGAAGAAGAGGAAGGAGCGCGGUGCCAGGAAAAGCUUCUAAGGUUCGUAAUGUGAAAUCCGUACUAAAACCGACACAGGUAGACUGGGCGAGUAGCCUAAGGUGAACGAGUGAACCUUCGUUAAGGAACUCGGCAAAAUAGCGUCCGUAACUUAGGAAUAUGGACUACCGGUGCUUAGCUUGCUAAGCGCUGGUCGCAGCGAAAGAUACCAAGCGACUGUUUACCAAAAACACAGGUCUCUGCAAACCCGCAAGGGGAUGUAUAGGGGCUGACGCCUGACCAGUGCCGGAACGUUAACGGGAGCGGUGAAAGCUUAUCCCCGAAGCGCCGGUGAACGUCAGCGAUAACUAUAAUCGUUCUAAGGUAGCGAAAUUCCUUGACAGGUAAGUUCUGUCCCGCAUCAAAGGCGUAACGACUUGGUAACUGUCUUAACGAAGAGCUCGGUGAAAUUGCAAUGACGGUAAAGAUGCCGUCGACCUGCAGCAAGACGAAAAGACCCCGUGGAGCUUUACUAUAGCUUGGCAUUGCGUUUGAGGUUAUGCUGCCUAGAAUAGGUGGGAGCCUUUGAAAUCCCGAUUCAGGUCGGGAUGGAGGCAACAGUGUAAUACCACUCUGUGUGAUUUUAAACGCUAACCCUGGGCUGUUAGAAAAUUGGAAACAUUUUUUUAACUCCUCAGCUUUAGAUUCAAGUAAUAGUGUAAAAAGUAUCUAUGAUGAUAUAAGUUGAGAGUUAUGGAAUGAUUCUUUCUAGUUUUCUACCAGUCCGGGGACAGUGCCUGGUGGGUAGUUUGACUGGGGCGGUCGCCUCCUAAAUGGCAACGGAGGCGUUUACAAAGGUAGGCUAGGUCCGGAUGGAAAUCGGGCCGGUAGUGCAAACGCAUAAGCCUGCUUUACUGCAAGACUCAUUAGUCGAUCAGUCACGAAAGUGGAAGUUAGUGAACCGACCAUCGCUCAUAGGAGCGUGGAAGAUCAUCAGAUAAAAGUUACCCCGGGGAUAACAGGCUGAUCCCUCCCAAGAGUCCACAUCGACGGAGGGGUUUGGCACCUCGAUGUCGGCUCAUCACAUCCUGGGGCUGGAGAAGGUCCCAAGGGUUUGGCUGUUCGCCAAUUAAAGUGGUACGCGAGCUGGGUUCAAACCGUAGAGAAGUCGAAAGUUUAUAAAGUUAUAAAGUUCAUAAAGUCGACUUUUGUACAGUUUGAACCCGAGGAAAGACAUCAAAUAAUCACGGCGGCCUUGAAGAGUAAUCUUCAAGUGCGAAACUGACUCAUAUCGAUGAAGUCCUGUUGCAUGACAAACUGUCAUGUGCUAGGAUAAUAUCGAGGGAAGUCGUGUAUGCUAGAAUCAAUUUCGUCAAUUGAAAAAUCUUAUUUGGCUGGUUUUUUGGAUGCUGAUGGGAGCAUUUACGUGCAAGCAAAACCAAACGAGACUUAUCGUUUCGGUUUUCAAAUCGCGUCGUACAUAGUUUUCUAUCAAUCGUCUAAAGAUGAAAAAGCCUUUUCCGACAUGUGUUCCAUUAUUAAACUGGGGCACAAGCGUGUCAGAAAAGACGGUAUCAUAGAAUAUAUAAUCAGCAGGCAAGAGGAAAUUAUUCAAUUUAUUAAUUUAAUUGAGCCUUAUAUAAAACUGAAAAAAGCUCAAUUGGAAUUAUUGAAAAAGAUAAUUGAUCUUAAGAAGAAAGUCCAGGAUAAAAAAGAUUUUAUAAAAUUGAUAAAUUUGAUUGAUAAAUUUCGCGAAUUAAAUUAUUCAAAGAAGCGAAAAAAACGUACAUUGACCCCGUAGAGACUAAACGUCAGUCUCCUAAUUCAAUAAAAUUAGGAUGAAGGUAUAGUCCAAUGCACGUAGCAAUACGUGGAAAACAUGCGUGAGACAGGUUGGUCUCCUAUCUGCUGUAGGCGUUAUUGCUUGAGAGGACACUUUCCUAGUACGAGAGGACCGGAAAGUACGAACCUCUGGUGUACCAGCUGUUCCGCCAGGAGCAUCGCUGGGUAGCUACGUCCGGACGGGAUAACCGCUGAAGGCAUAUAAGCGGGAAGCCCACCUCAAGAUUAGGCAAUUUUUGGUGCUUGCACCAAAACGAUUUGCUAGAAGAUGACUAGUUUGAUAGGUUUCAGGUCUAAGCGGAGUGAUCCGUUAAGCCGAGAAAUACUAAAAAAUCGAACAUUAUCUCUCU
rnacentral:rRNA from 1 species